AUCGGUAAUUAGAGGCUUUCCUAGGUGGCUGUCGUUCGGCUACCGACCACGCGGCAGUAGGCCAUCUUGGAUCCUUUGUCUCCCCAGCGGUGUUUGGUCGUCGAGCGCGUGGAACUGAAAACGGCUACUCGAUGGCGCAAACACCGCUGGACUUCCAGGCCGUUCGGGAGCUCCGGUCUUACGCUGUUAGAGUUUCCCCAUCGGUGUUCG